ensembl:lncRNA
AAAAAAGCCAACGGGUUAGAGUGAGUUAUGAAAGUACCAAACAUUGUGACAGACACUUUACUACCUGAAUGUUAGAGAAAGAACAGAAAUGUCCUCUUUUUUUCUUCUUCCUUUACAAAUAAUGUUAACUGUUUAUCUGACAUUGUUUUGUACUUUUAUUUUGCAUUUUAUGUCAAUGUGACUUUAAAAAAAAGUAGGCAAACAUAUGUCAUUUCUUUGUUACAGAGAGUAGACAGUACCAAACUAUGGAUCAAUGAGUUCUUGCUGUUGACAUGAUUAUCUCCCAAACCCCUUGGCGAUAUGUGAUUUAAUAGCACCACACAAAUCAAGCAAUCAAAAAAAAAAAAAGAAGAUUAAAGCUGAAACACUGUAGGUUGAAAAUACUCUUGCCUCUUCAGUUUGUUCAGCUAUUAAGGUUCCAACUCAGAUACAUUGUGAAAGACAAGUUGAUGUGGUCACCACAAUUGGGAUUAAUUUUACUACACUUCCAAUCCAUUUAGGAAAUAAUCUGGACAUACCAUUUGAAUUGGAGGAAAAGGCUCAUUGGGGUAUAACUCUUGGAUUGACUGAAAGUUUGACACAUAAAUGGAUUUGACUCCAAUACUGGUGAUAAUAUAGAACCCAAACCGUGCUACCCUGGGAUUUCUAGAAACAACCAUUUGUAUCAUUGAGAUAUGGAUGCAUCAUGACUGUUCACAGGUUUAGUUGGCUUGGUCUCAGGUUUUGCAGUUCUCCCAAUGGAAGUUCUACUGUAUAUGGCUUACUGCCUUGCUCAGAAAUAAGUUAGUGGUUAUCUGCUCAUCCUUUUACAGUACAACACUAUGCAUGUGUACAAAGGGAUUUCCAACCACCAUCUCAUUUACAGUAUGCAUAUAGAAUAACAAAUGACUUUCAAUUCCGAUAUAUUCUAAACAAAAAAGCUUAUUACUCAUCUUUUACAGCAUUCAUUUAUCUCUGUGCAAGGAUAUGGAUGUACAGUAAACCAAAAGUAUUGGGACAGUGACACAUUUGUUGUUUUGGCUCAGUAUUUCAGCACUCUGGAUUUGAAAUGAUGCAAUGACUAUGCGAGGAUAUGGGACCAAAUACUGAACUUUAGACUAUUUUAUUACACAAGUGAAUUUGUCCGAGUACUUUUGGUCCUCUAAAAUGGGGGGGGGGGACUACGUACAAAAAGUGCUGUACUUUCUAAACGGUUCACCCGAUAAGGAUGAAAAUACCCUCAAAUUAAAGCUGUCAGUCUGCUCUUUAACCUCCAGUCAUUGUAUCAUAUCAAAUUCAAAGUGCUGGAGUACAGAGCCAAAACAACCAACAACGUGUCACUGUCCUAAUACUUUGAGCUCACUACGUAGCUUACCAUCGAUUUCUGUCCUACUUCACCAAUUACUUGGUUACAGUUGUAAUGGAGCCACAGCAUUCACUUUUUUUUUUAACAAACAUUAACCCCGUAUAUUGAGACUAAGCCAUAUCCCCAAAGCCACAUCCAAGCUCAGCAUUUCCUAUUAAUAGCACCUGGUUUGUUUUUAUCCCAAAAUACAUUUUUAAUCCAAUGCUUUGUACAAUAUUUGUCAGCAACUAUCCACAGUACAUGAAUAUCCUUCAGCGUGAAUAAAAACAACUAGUUCCUACUACAAACUGUAUAUCUUGAAGCAGAUAUUUGCCAUAACUGUGUUUGCAAAACUAUCAAGAGAUUCCAAUAAAACCG